rnacentral:rRNA from 1 species
UACGUAGGGGGCUAGCGUUGUCCGGAAUCAUUGGGCGUAAAGCGCGUGUAGGCGGCCCGAUAAGUCCGCUGUGAAAGUCCAGGGCUCAACCCUGGGAUGCCGGUGGAUACUGUCGGGCUCGAGUCCGGAAGAGGCGAGUGGAAUUCUGGUGUAGCGGUGAAAUGCGCAGAUAUCAGGAGGAACACCAAUGGCGAAGGCAGCUCGCUGGGACGUGACUGACGCUGAGACGCGAAAGCGUGGGGAGCAAACAGG